UACGUAGGGGGCAAGCGUUGUCCGGAUUUAUUGGGCGUAAAGAGCGUGUAGGCGGCCCGUACAGGGUCAGCUGUGAAAACUCGAGGCUCAACCUCGAGACGUCGGUUGAAACCGUACGGCUAGAGUCCGGAAGAGGAGAGUGGAAUUCCCCGGUGUAGCGGUGAAAUGCGCAGAUAUCGGGGAAGAACACCCGUGGCGAAGGCGGCUCUCUGGGGACGGUACUGAC
rnacentral:rRNA from 1 species